AGUGAACGCUGGCGGUAGGCCUAACACAUGCAAGUCGAACGGCAGCACAGUAAGAGCUUGCUCUUACGGGUGGCGAGUGGCGGACGGGGGAGGAAUACAUCGGAAUCUACUUUUUCGUGGGGGGUAACGUAGGGAAACUUACGCUAAUACCGCAUACGACCUACGGGUGAAAGCAGGGGAUCUUCUGACCUUGCGCGAUUGAAUGAGCCGAUGUCGGAUUAGCUAGUUGGCGGGGUAAAGGCCAACCAAGGCGACGAUCCGUAGCUGGUCUGAGAGGAUGAUCAGCCACACUGGAACUGAGACACGGUCCAGACUCCUACGGGAGGCAGCAGUGGGGAAUAUUGGACGAUGGGCGCAAGCCUGAUCCAGCCAUACCGCGUGGGUGAAGAAGGCCUUCGGGUUGUAAAGCCCUUUUGUUGGGAAAGAAAAGCAGCAGGUUAAUACCCCGCUGUUCUGACGGUACCCAAAGAAUAAGCACCGGCUAACUUCGUG
rnacentral:rRNA from 1 species